GGAAUAUAAGAAUCUGUCUCUUAAUUUUUAACUAAAAAAGUUAAGAAUCGAUUCUUAAAUAAGAGUUUUAAGAGCCGGUUCUUAACUUUUUUAAUUUAAAGUUAAGAGACGGGUUCUUAUAUUCU
rfam:Brassica napus, WGS project CCCW01000000 data, contig: 15980